CUCUGGGAGGAGAGCUCAGACAAGAGAGGCCUGUGUUGGCCCUGAGAUCAGACCGGUUACCCAAGGGAUGACAUCUAGAGGAAGGGGUGGUAGCUCUGAAAGAGGAUGUUCCCCUAGCCUCGUGAAGAAGAAGGACGCCACAGCCAGAGGACGAGGGGACUGUCCUGCACCUCCCCAAGCCCAGACCGUAAAUACAUCUGCCACUCCCACUGCCGAGACCUGCUACAUCUGGACGAUCCACCACAGGGCAGGUGGCCCCGCUGCGUGUCCGCUUCUGAAGUAAGACACUCCCGCAAAAGGGACAAUCAGAUCAAGCAUGUCUAAAGUAACUGAAAACAUGAAAAACGAAACAUCCGAAGAAGGGACUAAUUAGUGGGAAUGAUGGCCAAAUUCCUCAAUGGCCUCAGCUGGAUCCUGCCAGCACUCCAGGGUCUCGCUGUCCUCCAUGGUUGCUGAAAUUCCAGAAGUACCACAGGCAAUGAUGACUGUUCCUCUGCAAACUCACUGUUUAACGUCCUCUCUCCUGGCAUAUAAGUUUUUUUUUAU